UGAUACACCAGGAAAUGCCCAUACAGCAGAGUACUUAAAAGUAGCAGCAAAAGCUGUAGCAAACUGUGAGCAAAAAUACAAGUGUCAGAUGUGUCAUUUUGUCACAGACAAUGCCGCAAAUGUAGCAAAGAUGAGAUGAAAUCUACAAGAUGACAAUGAAAGGAACAUAAAACUUGUAACAUAUGGGUCUAGUGCUCAUUUGAUGCAUCUUUUAGCCGAAGACUCAAGUACAACUCCAGGAAUAAAAAACAACGUGCUGAAAUUGCAAAAUCCUUACAGGAGAACCACUCUGCUUCAGCCUCGCCAAAGAGAGGAGGCGGAGCCAGACUGAUUCUCCCCCAGGACGUACAGUGGAAUUCAGUGGUCGACUGUUCUGAGCUGUGAGUUCAGAGCUGGCCCACUGUGACGAAAAUUGGGACCAAAUAGAUGGAAUGACCACAGCCACAGAAGCCAAGACUGGAGGAGAGAGCCAUGUGGCAGACACGCUGAAUACGCCGAAACCAGCUUCCAGAGCCCUGGACAAACCGCGGGGAGAUUGCUGCUGUGUGGCUGACGCCACUGACAUUUGGAAAGAACUUCAAGGGGCCUUGACAACAGAAGUACCCAACACCACAGUUAACCUGCAGGCAGGAAAGAGGCGGCUGGAUCAAGCAAAGUACCAGGGUAGAUGCCUAGCUGCUGGAGAAGAUGCUGCUGUGACCUGGGCGUCUAAUAAUCACCAGCCACUCAUGCCACCCAUAACACCUUUCAGGGCGGAAGGUGCCACUGGAGCAGUGCGUGUUUGCUGACGCUGUUUUAAGGCGAGUCAGACCACUGAACCUGGGGGAGUCGCUAGCUAAGCGCCCGGAACCAGAGGCCGCUGAAGUGCUGACCCAGCUUCAGACAGCGGUAGCCUCUUCUGCAGGCACAGAAGGAAUAUUUACUUCAUUUGGACAAUUCAUUCAAAGUUGAGAGAUCGAUUGGGAGUUGAAAAAGAGGAAAACUUGUCUCUCUCUUCCAGUUUGUGAAUAAAAACGAGGAGAGAGAACGAGAUCUCCUACUUUUAAAAGUCUGAAGGGCAGCCUAAGUAACUGAGGAGACUGUUGUUUCAUUUUUCAAGAAACUUAGGUCCUGAAACAUACAUUGACAGCCAGCUGCUACUUUCACAGGACAUCUCAGCAAUCAUCACCAGUGAAGCCAGCUUACAGAAGUCAGCAAUAAAAUGGAAAUUACGAGCACUCCCAUAAGCCAAUGCUUAAGCAGGAAGUCUUGGCAGCUGUGACAGACAUACCGUUAAAGUGGAAAGCUGAGUUGGGCAGCUGGGAUGGACAUUGUGGGAGCUUUGUUAAGAGAGUGUGAGUUCAUAUACUGAGUGCCCCAUAGGUCUGGUUAGUGGGGAACUCAGCACAUAGUUAAAGUCUAUUUGACUAGCGGCAAUUCAUUUGGAUAAUGAUAUUUGCAGGUGACUUUUGAGAGGUCAUUUGCACCUAAUGAAGUCAGAAUCGCACUGCAACUAUCACCAUAGGUCACUAGAGAUAAAGAUGUCACCAAUGCAGUAUUGGUAGUCCUCAUCCAGUGAACUGGUGCACAGGAAUUCAGGCCUCCUUUUAUGUUGUAAGUGCCUAACUAGUAUUAAUACACAGGAUAUUUCAGAUAGAGGCAGUAACCCCUGCUUAAGCAUACUGAUGUAACAUACAGAGAUUAUUUCACAUAAAGGUGCCUAUUUCUAAUACAUUAAGUACUCAUGUGCUGUUGGGGCCACACACUUUCUCUCAGUAGAGGCUGCAAGACAUUUCAAGGUUAGACCAACUAAUUUUACAGUGCUUGUGGCAGCUUAAUCUCCUCAUUUAAACACAACAGUUAACCACCUCAGUUAAAUGUGAGCGUUCAACCCACCUGCUCUGUAUGGCCAUGAUUGAGGUUUUUCUUUAUUUUUUCUCACUGGACGAUGCAAGUUGUACAACACUGAUCUUGUUUUUCAGGCAGGGACGCAUAGUUCAUUUGCCUGACGAUCUCGGCAAACAGUUCAUCCACCAUGGUUUUACUCUUGGCCGACGUUUCCAUGAAUGGACAGCCCCACUCCUGAGCCAAAGCUCUGCCUUCUGCAGAUAAGACCUCCCUCUCAGAUUCCAGAUCCACUUUAUUCCCCACUAGGAUUAGAGGAACUUUUUCAUAUCUCUUCACUCGGACAAUCUGGUCCCUCAUUGGCUUGAUGUCCUGAUUAAACAAUCCAACUGGUUAA